CCAUUUUGAUUUGUACAUGAUCCCCUUUUUUUCUUUUUGGUGUACAAGAUGGCUGAAGCUCAAAGAAAAGGAAGAAGUAAUUACAGCUAUACACUAGGAAAGGAAAUCCAAAAGCACCAAGGUAGCAAGCUGAUGGGAAAGAAAAGAAAGAAUAGCUAAUGCUUAGUUUAGAAGAUAGUUUAUUUAUUAGAGAUUUUCAUUAUUUGUUUGGUGCAACGGUAAAAACCUUGAGCUCACAAGCGCAAUGGUGCAGGUCCUGGUCCUAGAGAAGAUGCAUAAAAAAAAGGUCAAAGGUUAGCUUGUCCUCCUAGGAUCCUGAAAUGUGGGACCGUAAUCAUUUUUUCAGAUUCCCAUCAUCAUUAUCAUCCACCUAUUUUUCCUAUCAAAUAAAGGAAAGCUAAAGAACCAAACUCCUGGUUGAGACGACUCCAUAGAAAGAUUACGGGCCAGUGCGGAAAGUUCGUCCUAGAAGAG
rnacentral:lncRNA from 1 species